rnacentral:lncRNA from 1 species
CCUUUGUAAAAUAUUACUCUAGUUUACAUUCUGUCUUGUGUUUAUAUGUGGUGAGGACUGUGGUUCCAUGAAUAUAUAUAUAUACUGUGCAGUUUCUGGUCAUGCACAAUCACCACUAGCAUGGACACAUGUAUGAAAAAGCAUCUUCAAAAGCAAAGAUUUAGGAAGGACACCAAAGAGACAGACAGAGAGACUGCCCCUGGAUUACGAUCUUUCAGAAAACCCAGAAAUUGAGAUGACUUUGAAUUACCUGGCAGAAAAAGGUGGGAAGAAACUAUGAAAAUGUUGUUGAAUAAAUAUGGAUUUCAAAACGGACUGAGAAAUGCAUUACCGUCUCCGAAGUGUUUGAGGUGAGUAAAA